rnacentral:rRNA from 1 species
UGAUGGCUCAGUGAGGCCUUCGGACUGGCUCAGGGGGGUUGGCAACGACCGCCCAGAGCCGGAAAGUUGGUCAAACUUGGUCAUUUAGAGGAAGUAAAAGUCGUAACAAGGUUUCCGUAGGUGAACCUGCGGAAGGAUCAUUACCGAGUGCGGGUCCUUCGGGGCCCAACCUCCCACCCGUGUCUACCGUACCGUGUUGCUUCGGCGGGCCCGCCGCAAGGCCGCCGGGGGGCGUCCCCCCGGCCCGUGCCCGCCGGAGACCCUGUGAACGCUGAUCUGUGAAGGCGUGUCGUCUGAGUCGCGUGAGAAAUCGUGAAAACUUUCAACAACGGAUCUCUUGGUUCCGGCAUCGAUGAAGAACGCAGCGAAAUGCGAUAAGUAAUGUGAAUUGCAGAAUUCCGUGAAUCAUCGAAUCUUUGAACGCACAUUGCGCCCUCUGGUAUUCCGGGGGGCAUGCCUGUCCGAGCGUCAUUGCUGCCCUCAAGCACGGCUUGUGUGUUGGGCCGCCGUCCCCGCCCUCCGCGGGGGGACGGGCCCGAAAGGCAGCGGCGGCGCCGCGUCCGGUCCUCGAGCGUAUGGGGCUCUGUCACCCGCUCUGCAGGCCCGGCCGGCGCCCGCCGAGUCAACCACUUCUUUCCAGGUUGACCUCGGAUCAGGUAGGGAUACCCGCUGAACUUAAGCAUAUCAAUAAGCGGAGGAAAAGAAACCAACAGGGAUUGCCCCAGUAACGGCGAGUGAAGCGGCAAGAGCUCAAAUUUGAAAUCUGGCCCCGUCGGGGUCCGAGUUGUAAUUUGCAGAGGAUGCUUCGGGUGCGGCCCCCGUCUAAGUGCCCUGGAACGGGCCGUCAUAGAGGGUGAGAUCCCGUCUGGGACGGGUGGCC